AUGGCUCAGAACGAACGCUGGCGGCGCGUCUAAGCAUGCAAGUCGAACGGCAAGAGGUAGCAAUACCUCCUAGAGUGGCGGACUGGUGAGUAACACGUGGGUGACAUACCCUUCAGAUGGGGAUAGCUAUUAGAAAUAGUAGAUAAUACCGAAUACGAGCACAGGGGUUAGAGAUCUGUGAGGAAAGGAGCUAAGGCUCCGCUGAAGGAAUGGCCUGCGGCCCAUUAGCUAGUUGGUGAGGUAAGAGCCCACCAAGGCGAUGAUGGGUAUCCGGCCUUAGAGGGUGAACGGACACAUUGGGACUGAGAUACGGCCCAGACUCCUACGGGAGGCAGCAGCUAAGAAUAUUCCGCAAUGGACGAAAGUCUGACGGAGCGACGCCGCGUUGGAUGAAGAAGGCCGGAAGGUUGUAAAAUCCUUUUGAAACUGAAGAAUAAGCGUUGUAGGGAAUGACAGCGUGGUGACAGUAGGUUUUGAAUAAGCAACGGCUAAUUACGUGCCAGCAGCCGC
rnacentral:rRNA from 1 species